rnacentral:lncRNA from 1 species
AUCUUCUAGAGCUUCGAUGGCCUUGUAUUGGCAAGAGAAAUCGGAAAAAGGGCAUGAAGGUUGUGUGAUAUCCACUUGGACGUUUGACCUCUCACAAAUGUCAUGAAUUCGACACCAAUGAAGACUUCUUCAGCUUCAACCUGCUCCGACUAAUACCAGCUCAAAUGUAAGACCAAGAUCCUGUUCAACUUUGAUUAGCUCCUUUGUGAGGAUUUUACCUAACAUUUCCAAGUUUUGUGCAGUUUGAGCUCAAAGAGCUAAUACCACUACAUCAACCCUUGAAUCUGAAAGGUAUUACCCUCUAUUAGGAAUCAAUUUUGAAACAAACUUCGCAGAUCUGCAUUUACAUUCGGGAUUCGAGUUCGAAUGCAAUUUUCAUUGAAACUCUUCUGAUAUAUCUUGCUUGCCUUUUUUCCCACAGUGCUAACUUUGAUUAUCCUCCUAUAUUUGAAAGUUUCUGUUUUGAACCUUCCUUGUUCGAAUAUUUGGUGUGAUGUUUCUAUCUAAUUGUAGUAUGAUCUUUGCCUGCUAUGGUAACUCCUGACUAGAAUUAAACUGCAUCUGAUCUAUUCCUGCAAAGCUGAAAACAUAGUUAAGCUAAAAAAUCAGCAAGUUUAUUUCCUUCUCUAUAGGUGUGCUCAAUCAUCGUUGUACCAUUCUCCAUAGCUCUUUUUAUAACUCUAAUCUCUACUGCAAUCGACCAAUGUAUCUCCCAGAUACCAUCUUGCACCUUCUUAAUAAUCAGAGAAUCUGUGUCCAUCACAAGAGGCAUAAGAUUAUGCUCUAAACAGUAUAAAAUGUCGCUAUUGAAUGCUUUGGUUUCAGCUUCCAAGGCUGUGCACAAAGAAAUACUCUUAGCUUCAGCAUACAGCAAACACCCUUGAUGAUUUCUCACACAAAAAGCCAUAGCACUAGUCCCCAAAACAGGUCUACUUGAGCCGUCAGUGUUACAUUUAAAAGUACCUUCUUCAGGGCAUCUCCACCUUAUAACUCUGCUAGUCAACAUAGGACUGUAAGCCUCUAGAAAAGGUAUAAUUAGGGGUCAUGCAUUUGGUACCUCCACCAACCAUGGAUAUCGUACUUUGGUCAUCAAAUAUACGUUCUUGUUGGUCUCCAUUUUCAUUGAAUGCCUUGACAUUUUGCCUCCAUGUUUGAGGACAUUCCGUCUCUUCCAUACUUUCCAAACUAUGAAUGUAGGGACUGCCUUGUAUAACGGUUUCAACUUUGUCACCCAUCAAACUCCCACCAUUUCUUAAUAACUUGUCUAAGUUGAACAAAAGGCCCUGGGAUACCUGCAGCUCCUGCAAAUACUCUCCAUAGAUAGUUUACAUCAGGACAACCUACAAAUAGAUGGUUAAAAUUUCUUGUGUCCCCGCAUUACAACAACAACAUACCACAUAGUCACAAAUUUUAUAUCUAACCAAAACCUGACCAAUGGGGAUUAUUUGGAACCAGAUUCUCCACAUAAGGAAGGAAAUUCGGAAAGGAAUUCCUUUUUCCCAAAUUUGCAUUAUACCUUCUAUUGCAUUACUUCUUUGUCUAAUCAAUUCCCAAGCACUUCUAACUGUAAAUUUUCCUGAACUGUUGUUAGGAAUCCACCAAGUUAUAUCACUCUCUCCAGAAUUAUGAUCUGACCCUAACACCUUGAAAACAUGCUGACACAAUUCUUAUGUUAACAUAUUAGACAUUAAAGGCUUGUUCCACUCUCCAUUAUUCCACAGUUGAUUCACCUCCUUCAUUAAGCCUGAGAGAUUCUGAUUAAUCUGCUCUAAGUGAUGAAUAGAGACAAUUUGGGACCAAUUAUCAUACCAAGUACUAGCUUGUCCACACCUAGGUUCCCACCAAAUCUCCUGAUCCAUUAUCCCUAGCCCAAAGCAUCAUCUUGCGGAUUAGAGAUCCACCCCUCCACUCCACUACUUGAGGCCUAUGCCUUUUGCAAUAUUUGUUCCAUAAAAAAAUAGACCACAUAGUAUUUUUAGUUCUAAAUAUCCACCACAGUUUAGCAAAUAAAGCUUUGGAUAUGUCAAAAAGAGAUCUAAACCCAAGACCUCCCUCUUCCUUAGGUACACACAUGUCAUUCCAAGCAACCCAAUGUUUAGCUUCCCUUCCUCCUUAAAGUUCCAUAGAAAUUUAGCAAAGAUUCUAUGAAGGUAAUAUAGAACACAUUUAGGAGGAAUAAUGGCUGAUAACAAAUAUAUUGGCAUACUUUGUAGUACAUGCUGAAUCAAGAUUGCUUUACCCCCAAAAGAUAAAAGCUUACCUUUCCAUUCUUGGAGCUUGUUCUGGACCCUCUUUAUUAAUUCAGAAAAAAUAGAUUUUCUUUUCUUUGCAUGACCAAUAGGACACCCCAAAUAUUUUAAAGGAAAAGUGCCUCUUGUCAACCCAAUACCUUCAAUAACAUCAUUUACAUGAGAUAUUGCAGUCUUGUUGUGCAUAUAGAAAAAACUUUUGCUUGUAUUGAUUUUCUGACCUGAUUGUCUCUCAUAAUCCUUCAAUACUUGCAUGAUGAGUAAUAAGGAUUUCUUAUCAGCUCCAACAAAAAUAAUGGUAUCAUCUGCAUAGACGAGAUGAUUUAAUUUUUCACUCCAUUUAGGUAUUCCAAAACCUUUAAAUUCAUUGUUAUGAAACAAAUGAUUCAAAGCACUGGAUAAAACCUCAGCUGUAAUAAUGAAUAAGGCAGGAGAAAGAGGGUCCCCCUGUUUUACUCCCCUUGUAGAAUGAAAGAAACCAUAAGCUUGUCCAUUAAUAAGAAUAGAAUACCAAUUGUUUGCCAUAAGUCUCCAAAUAAUAUCUACUACUCCUGCGUCAAAACCCAUGUGUUCAAGAACUCUAAUUAAAAAGUUCCAAUUUACUCUAUCGUAAGCUUUGGCCAUGUCUAGCUUGAUGACAACAUUUGCAGGGUUACCCCUCUUCCUAAUAUCAGUAAUUAUUUCUUGUGCUAAUAAAACAUUUUCUGUAAUGCUCCUUCCCUUCACAAAACAGACUGAUUCUAUGAAAUAAGGUUAGGUAACAAACCUUCCAAUCUGUCAUGAACAAUUCUAGCGAUCACUUUAUUAAUGAAAUUACUCAAACUAAUAGGUCUUAGGUCUGAAAAGGAUUGAAUGAUAUCCCUUUUAGGCAGUAAGACUAAAUUAGUAUGAGUUAUUGAUUUGGGAAAAGAAUUACCAUUGAAGAAAGCAUGUACAAUCUUCACGACUUCAGCCCCAACCACAUCCCAACAUACUUGAUAAAAAUGUCCUGUCAAGCUAUCAGGCCCACUAGAACUAUCUCCAUUAAGAUUAAAAACCACCCUUUUCACCUCAUCAUCCUCGGGUAAUAUUUUCAGUAGUUCAUUAUCACCAGUAGAGACAAUAGGAGAAAUAUGCUACAACAGAUGAAACUCAAAAUCAACUGCAGAUUCAGAGAGUUGAUCCUUAAAGAAAUCUAAUGCUUCUACUGCAAUCUGCUCCUUCCCUUCUGCCCAAGAUCCAUUCUCUCUUUGAAUUAUGUUUAAACACAGUCUUUUUCUUCUACCUUUCACUAAUGAGUGAAAGAGUUUGGUGUUCUUGUCUCCUUCAGUGAACCAUUGAAUGCUAGCCUUUUGUCUCCAAAAUUCUUCUUCAUAGUGAAGAUAGAGUUUUAGUUCAGCCUGAGCAUGCUGUAAUAUAACUCUAUUAGCUGAAUUUGGAUGCUCUUCAAAUAAAUCUUCUUUCAUUCUCACUAUUUCCUCUCUAAUCUGCACUUGAUUAAAUAUAUCACCAAUUUUUUCCUUGCUCCAUUUAGAAAGUGCUAAUUUCGUUCUUUUCAUCUCAAGCUUCCAAUCAAUAAAAAUAUCAGAAUUCAAGGUAGAACCCCAAGACUCCUUCACCACCUCUUUAAAAUCAUCCCGCUUUGUCCAAAAUUUCAAGAAUCUGAAUGGCCUUGAAACAGUCUGGUCACAGCCUACACAACUGAGUAACAAAAGAGCAUGGUCUGAACCAGUUCUGGAUAGAUAUUGGAGUUCUAUGUUACCCAACAACUCAUUCAAGUCUUGAUUAUACAAUACUCUAUCAAGCCUUUUAAAAGUGCACUCUUCAUCUGAUCUCUUAUUCCACCAGGUAAAAGGACUACCACUGAAAUUCAUAUCAAAUAACUCACAUGAGUUAAUACAACAAGCAAAAUCUUCAACUUCUUGAGGAUAUACUGGUAGGCCUCCUAUCUUUUCCUCAUUACUUAGUAUGACAUUAAAGUCUCCCCCAACAAGCCAUGUCAUAGAUAGAUUAUAGUUAAUGUAAUACAACUCAUCCCAUAGUUCUAAUCUUUCUCCAACUGAACAUUUAGCAUAUACAAUAGUAGUCAAAAAUUGUUUACCAUCUUGCAUUGUCAACUGCAGAGUCAGUUAUUCUUCAGAAUCAGAAAUAAACCCCACAUGGAUAUGCUCUUUAACAAACAACCAGAUAUGGCCAUUAGAGUUAUAAUUAACAUACUGCAUUCCUAGUCUUCUCUUGUACUUCUGAAUUUGUCUUGUAUCUUGAAAAGGCUCCAACAAAGCUAUUAAGAAAAACUUGUGAUGUUUAUUCAACAUUUGAACUCUAUGAAAAGCAUUUUGAGUUCUAACCGACCUAAUAUUCCAAAAUAAGACUUUAAGGGUCAUUUAAAUAUAGCUUUAACCACCCUUUUAGCCUGAAUCCUGGUUGGUAUUUCUUCUCUCUCUUUGGUGUUAUCUUUCCUAUUCCUACCUUCGACAACACGUUAGGAGAUACACCCACUUCUUUACAAACAUUCAUGCCAUUCUUGAUGUUGUUCACUUCUUCAGUAUCUUCAACCUAUACUUUCUGAGAAACUUCCCCUUUGUGCAUCACCUCAUCCUCCUGAACCUGAUGAGACACAAGAGCAUGUAAUUUCUCCAUAUGGGCUGAUUUUUGACCUAUAACAGGAAGUAAACCUCCUUCUACAGUCUCCAUACUAACCAUCUAAAGAGGAGUAUGAUAUGUAGCCUCUGCCAUUUCUUUCCUCAAUAUUAAUAUCCUCUCUUCUUCCUCUAUGUCUUUUGAAAUAGUUACUGCUGAAGUUAAAUCCUCUGAUUCAUUGACAUUCUGAUCCACACUAACUUGCUCACUGAGUUCUUUAUAUUACUAACAUUUUGUUCAUCUUCUACAUGUGUCAAAGCUAGUAUAUUAUCUUCAUCAUCUUUGGUUUAUGCCACUUCUAUUGCUGAGUUUAAUUUUUCUGUCUCCUUACUAUCAUAUGCCUGCUCAUUAGUCUGAUUAGUAUUACUAACCAUUUGUUCUUCUUCUACAGGUGCCAAGUUAUUCAGAUCAGUGACAUUACUAUUCAUGUCUUCAGUACCUUCCAAGACUGAUGCAUCAUCCCUUUGACACAUUAUCUUAUUAAUGUUUGUAUUAAUGCUAUGUUUCCCAUCACCCUUCCUGUGAUAUGUGAUAAA